GCACAAGCGGUGGAUGAUGUGGAUUAAUUCGAUGCAACGCGAAGAACCUUACCUACCCUUGACAUGUCCGGAACUUGCCAGAGAUGGCUUGGUGCCCGAAAGGGAACCUAGACACAGGUGCUGCAUGGCUGUCGUCAGCUCGUGUCGUGAGAUGUUGGGUUAAGUCCCGCAACGAGCGCAACCCUUGUCAUUAAUUGCCAUCAUUCAGUUGGGCACUUUAAUGAGACUGCCGGUGACAAACCGGAGGAAGGUGGGGAUGACGUCAAGUCCUCAUGGCCCUUAUGGGUAGGGCUUCACACGUAAUACAAUGGUCGGUACAGAGGGUUGCCAACCCGCGAGGGGGAGCCAAUCCCAGAAAACCGAUCGUAGUCCGGAUUGCAGUCUGCAACUCGACUGCAUGAAGUCGGAAUCGCUAGUAAUCGCGGAUCAGCAUGUCGCGGUGAAUACGUUCCCGGGCCUU
rnacentral:rRNA from 1 species